rnacentral:rRNA from 1 species
GUAGGGAAUAUUGCGCAAUGGGGGAAACCCUGACGCAGCGACGCCGCGUGAGUGAUGAAGGCCGUCGGGUCGUAAAGCUCUGUUGCAGGGGAAUAAAAAAAUGAAGGUACCCUGUGAGGAAGGAUCGGCUAACUUCGUGCCAGCAGCCGCGGUAAGACGAGGGAUCCUAGCGUUGCUCGGAAUCAUUGGGCGUAAAGAGGGCGUAGGUGGCUUGGUAAGUCAGGUGUGAAAGCCCAGGGCUCAACCCUGGAAGUGCAUUUGAUACUGCUGAGCUUGAGUGUCGGAGAGGUUACCGGAAUACCUGGUGUAGUGGUGAAAUACGUAGAUAUCAGGUGGAACACCGGAGGCGAAGGCGGGUAACUGGACGAACACUGACACUGAGGCCCGAAAGCGUGGGGAUCAAACAGGAUUAGAAACCCUUGUAGUCC